UGGGGUAGCUCAGUUGGUAGAGCAUUUCCAUGGUAAGGAAAAGGUCGUGGGUUCAAUUCCCACUCCC
rnacentral:tRNA from 1 species